UGGAAGAACAGGAGCCUCUAA
rnacentral:piRNA from 1 species